rnacentral:rRNA from 1 species
GACGAACCGAGCGAACGUUGUUCGGAAUAGCUGGGCUUAAAGGGCGCGUAGGCGGGCCGCCAAGUUCGAGGUGAAAUCCUCCGGCUCAACCGGAGAACUGCCUCGAAUACUGGAGGCCUCGAGGCGGGUAGGGGCAUGCGGAACUGUGGGUGGAGCGGUGAAAUGCGUUGAUAUCCACAGGAACUCCGGUGGCGAAGGCGGCAUGCUGGACCCGAUCUGACGCUGAGGCGCGAAAGCCAGGGGAGCAAACGGG